UGGACACCAACAUUAAUCCUAGGAAUUACUAAUCCAUGGAUCAAUCAAAUACCCAAUAUACUAACAAAAAUAAUAAUCGAAGGAGAACAAGAAAAAUAUGACAUCAUCACAGACUUAAAUCUGAAGGACAUAAAAUUAAAUGAAAUACAAAUCAGCUCCAGGGGUAUGCAGAAGGAAACUUACAGACAUACAAACAAUGAACAAACAUAUGAUAAUCAAUGGAUAUGGUAACAAAGUCAUGAUUAAAAAUGGGAAUUCAUCGCAAAUAUAUAACAUAAACAAAUACAAAUCAAUAUAUCACAAGAUGAUUACGGCAUUUUAUAUCAUGGUAAACAACGCUAAGAAUAAAGAGGUACUAAACCACUUUAUUAUACCGGAUAUCUUAAUAACUCCAAACCAAAUGAAAGAAGUUCGUAGAAUACUCUCUAAAUUAAAAGAUAAACUCUGGACAUGGGAAUCGGGGAGUAUGGACAAAACUUCCAUGGGAAAUGGCAUCGAAGUGGAAGCGAUAAUAAGAGAGAUAGAUGUUAAAGCCAGGAUAAAAGAACAUUUCAAACAAGUACUCAUCUACAAAAUGAGACAAGAUGAAACCACAGCUUUAAUUCUAAAUCCAUAUUUAAAGAAACCAACAACACACUUCUAUGGUGGACAUAAAGUAAGAUAUCUCAUCGAAUUACUCAAAUCAAUCAAUAUGACCAAAGUAAACUGCUGUGAAGGAAUAGGAAGUAACAUACAUCAUUACCUCUUCGAAUGUGAAACAAUGGAACCUCUACUACAAACGAAAGACUUCAAUUUAUGGUCAUCCACUAACAAUAAUAAGAAAAUAAUAACAUCUCUUGAAAAAAUACUUCUGAAACUCUCUGAAAUUUACCUAAACUCCUCUAAAACACGCAAAUCUCCCAUAACCCAUUAUACAAUGUAUAUACUAAAAAACAAAAAACUUAUGUAAAACAAAAACUCAUGUAAAAUGAAAAACUACUCAAAACUGGCGGUGAUGCCAAGCCAGAGGGAGCUUUAGUGUUUCCCUAGCUACCUCUCCGGAAACGGAAGAUAGCAGCUUGUAUAAAACAGCCUUUGUCUAAGAAAAAUAAAAUACAAGCUAUCUGUAGCUGGUUUCAUACAGUUUAAGUCGUUUCUUAGAGAAACGUCGUACAUUUAAUUUAUUGUGUUGUUUAUAAAACAAUGAAAAUUGCAACAAUUGUCUGUUAAUCCUAACGUUUAAUCAUCAUGCGAGCUAAGUGGCGGAAAAAGCGUAUGCGACGGCUAAAGAGAAAACGCCGAAAGAUGCGAGAACGAUCCAAGUGAUCGUGUGAUCAUUGAUGUUCAGCUUCUGUUUGGAUAAUCUCCAGGACUUUUUUUUAAUUGGGGAGUUCAAGUGCUGAGUAAUCAUUGAUCUAUAAUGAUUGGCUAUGUCGAAGCCAAGAUAUCUAUGUAACAAUGCUUGAUAUUAAUAAAGACGACUUUAGAUUA